CGGCUUCUUCAGAUCCUGCAGGAGGCGGAGACGUCACGUGAUUAGUGCUGAGCUACGACCAAUCACAUCGCAGCAACAAACAGCGUCAGAGUAGACUUUGACCCGUGAGUCAGUCGGGAAACAUGUCGAGCUGUGAACAGAGAAGGUCAGAGGUCAAACCCCUGACGUCAGAUGACAUCACAGAUGACAUCACAGAUGACCCGCUCCCCGUCCAGUCCUCACCAGGUUCUUGAAGAGCGCCGACAGCUCUUUGGUGAAGACGGUGAAGCGGAGGAAGGCGGAGCCGACCUCGCCGUCCUCCCUGCGGACGCAGUUGUCCCCGAACUUGUCCAGCGACUGGACGUACUGGUCCUCGUUGUCCACGUGAGCUGAAACACACAGGAAGUCCGUCCCACAUUCAACCUCCGCUCAUUUCUAUUGAGAGAAGACAGAUUUUCUGUUCUGGUUCAAUCUGCCCGGACUGGACUCGUCUCGCUCCCUGUGCAUGCUGGGACAGGAGAUCGGCAUUCUGGGAAUGUUUGGAGGCGAGUCUCCGCCCGCCUGAACACACGGAUCGUUCUCCGGUGGUGUAUUCCACAAAACUCUGAGUCUGUUGCCCUGAGAGGGAAACUUAAACUAGAGCCACAACAGUUGUUUGUGUCCACGUGGGAUUGAAACCUGAAUUAAAAGAAGAAUUAAAAACAUUGCAACGCCGCUGAGGUUGAAGUGAAUUGACUCGUCGACUCGUCUUUCUCACGACGGGCACGAAGUCGUAUCUUCGCCCUUGAUGAUGAGACGCAGCAGGACCUUGUGUUCUCUCCUCGGUUG